UACGGGGGGAGCAAGCGUUGUUCGGAUUUACUGGGCGUAAAGCGCACGUAGGCGGUUACUUAAGUCGGAUGUGAAAGCCCUUGGCUCAACUGAGGAAGUGCAUCCGAAACUGAGUAGCUAGAGUACGAAAGAGGGUCGCGGAAUUCCCGGUGUAGAGGUGAAAUUCGUAGAUAUCGGGAGGAACACCGGUGGCGAAGGCGGCGACCUGGGUCGAGACUGACGCUGAGGUGCGAAAGCGUGGGGAGCAAACAGG
rnacentral:rRNA from 1 species